AGAAACGAUAACCAUGUUGACAGAGAAGGGAAUUGGAAUAUGAAUCCAAAAUCUCGUGCUGGUGGGCGCAAUUAUAACCGCAGCCAAUCUGAGAAAUCAAACUCAAGAGUGGAUCGGUUGGCAUCCAGUGACAGCCGGGGAGACAGAUCAUGGAGCUCGCAUAGACAUGAUUCUGUUCCUUAUCUGUCCCAAAAUGGUCAAUUGCGUGGAAAUUCAAGCCAUAGUGGCCCUCCUAAUGUGGCAUAUGGCAUGUAUCCAUUAACAGCAAUGAACCCAAGUGGAGUGACUUCAAAUGGGCCUGGUGGUUCCCCUGUUGUAAUGCUGUAUCCAUUUGACCACAAUGCUAGUUAUGGUUCACAAGGAGAACAACUUGAGUUUGGGUCUCUGAGUUCAGCAGGUUUCUCAGGUGCAAAUGAACAACCUCAGCCAGGUGAGGGAAAUCGACAACGGGGGGCCUUUGAGGAACAGCGAUUUCAUGCAGUUUCUGGGC
rnacentral:lncRNA from 1 species